GGUGCUUUAGAUGCACGCAGUUCAAAGUUAAUGCCAGAUGAAAAGGAAAAUUAAAAAGAGUGAAUAAAUUUCAUCCUUUUCUACCGUGCAAGGCUCUGCUUUGUAUACAAAUUCAGAGUUUUCUAUUUCUGAUGUAAGAGAGAAAGCUUAGAUAUUUUCCAUCUCUUUUUUCUUGUGAAAGAUACAGAUUAUCAGCUUUAGUUUCAAAACCUAUGAUAAUGCACAUUCAAAAAUAAUUAAAAAGAAUUAAUAAGACAGCCAUGAAAACAUCUUGUAUGUUACUCUGUAAGCUAACAACCAUAUCAUCCUAAGAUCAUAGCUACGUUGUAGAAUCCCAGCCAUCUAUCCCACCAAAAUGUCCAGCAGUACUUGUUGUGCCAUACCCGAUUCUGCUGUUGCAACAGAUGACAAAAUGUUACAAGUCACGCAGGAAAAUAUAAUAUAAAGUAUCACAUCACCAAGCAAAAGCCAAAAACAGAAUGGAUAUCUCAUUGGCCCAUCUUCGCAAAGCAUCCCCUAAUUCUUGUUCAGUUGUUCUGCUCUCUCUGCCUGAGCCUUCCGUGAUUCAUACCUUUAAGUGUUUAUCAUACCUAGAUAAUUUAUCAAUGAUUUACGAUUUAGUUCAGAUUUAUUCAUGGGUUGAAAAUUUAUCAAUGAUUUACGAUUUUCAUUUUGAAAUUACCUAGAUAAUUUGUGAGAGAGACGAACAGAAACGGUGGAAAGAAAAGAAAUGAGAGGAUGAGAGAGAUUAAAAAGGGAAGAGAGGCAAUAGUUGGAGAAGGAGAUAGUCAUUUAAGGCUGUUUAAGUAAUUUUCUUUUUCCAAAUAAUUAAACGAUAGUUAAUAAGCUAUCUACCUGCGAUUCAUAAAUAGCAGCAAUUUUUUUUUUGUUUUAUUAUUUGACAAAAAUAACC
rnacentral:misc_RNA from 1 species